rnacentral:rRNA from 1 species
AAAUAGAUACCCCGGUAGUCCACGCCGUAAACGAUGAGUGCUAAGUGUUAGAGGGUUUCCGCCCUUUAGUGCUGCAGCUAACGCAUUAAGCACUCCGCCUGGGGAGUACGGCCGCAAGGCUGAAACUCAAAGGAAUUGACGGGGGCCCGCACAAGCGGUGGAGCAUGUGGUUUAAUUCGAAGCAACGCGAAGAACCUUACCAGGUCCUGACAUCCUCUGCCAACCCUAGAGAUAGGGCGUUCCCCUUCGGGGGACAGAGUGACAGGUGGUGCAUGGUUGUCGUCAGCUCGUGUCGUGAGAUGUUGGGUUAAGUCCCGCAACGAGCGCAACCCUUGAUCUUAGUUGCCAGCAUUCAAGUUGGGCACUCUAAGGUGACUGCCGGUGACAAACCGGAGGAAGGUGGGGAUGACGUCAAAUCAUCAUGCCCCUUAUGACCUGGGCUACACACGUGCUACAAUGGAUGGUACAAAGAGCUGCGAACCCGCGAGGGUAAGCGAAUCUCAUAAAGCCAUUCUCAGUUCGGA